UACGGAGGAUCCGAGCGUUAUCCGGAUUUAUUGGGUUUAAAGGGUGCGCAGGCGGGAGAUUAAGUCGGCGGUGAAAUUUUGCAGCUCAACUGUAAAAGUGCCUUCGAUACUGGUUUCCUUGAGUGUGGAUGAAGUAGGCGGAAUUUGUGGUGUAGCGGUGAAAUGCUUAGAUAUCACACAGAACACCGAUUGCGAAGGCAGCUUACUAAUCCAUCAUUGACGCUGAGGCACGAAAGCGUGGGGAUCAAACAGGAUUAGAUA
rnacentral:rRNA from 1 species